AUUGAACGCUGGCGGCAGGCCUAACACAUGCAAGUCGAACGAGUGGCGGACGGGUGAGUAAUGUCUGGGAAACUGCAUGAUGGAGGGGGAUAACUACUGGAAACGGUGGCUAAUACCUCAUACCAUCAGAUGUGCCCAGAUUGGAUUAGUUAGGUGGUGGGGUAACGGAUCACCAAGGCGACGAUUCCUAGCUGGUCUGAGAGGAUGACCAGCCACACUGGAACGGAGAGACGGUGCAGAAUCCUACGUGAGGCAGCAUUGGGGAAUAUUGCACAAUGGGCGCAAGCCUGAUGCACCCAUGCCGCGUGGAUGAAGAAGGCCUUCGGGUUGUAAAGUACUUUCAGCGGGGAGGCGUUACCCGCAGAAGAAGCACCGGCUAACUCCGUGCCAGCAGCCGCGGUAAUUC
rnacentral:rRNA from 1 species